CCUACGGGGGGCAGCAGUGAGGAAUAUUGGUCAAUGGGCGCGAGCCUGAACCAGCCAAGUCGCGUGAAGGAUGACUGCCCUAUGAGUUGUAAACUUCUUUUAUAAGGGGAUAAAGUGAGGCACGUGUGCCUUUUUGUAUGUACUUUAUGAAUAAGGAUCGGCUAACUCCGUGCCAGCAGCCGCGGUAAUACGGAGGAUCCGAGCGUUAUCCGGAUUUAUUGGGUUUAAAGGGUGCGUAGAUGGGUUGUUAAGUCAGUUGUGAAAUUUUGCGGCUCAACCGUAAAAUUGCAAUUGAUACUGGCAGGCUUGAGUACAGUUGAGGUAGGCGGAAUUUGUGGUGUAGCGGUGAAAUGCUUAGAUAUCACACAGAACUCCGAUUGCGAAGGCAGCCUACUAAGCUGCCACUGACAUUGAUGCACGAAAGUGUGGGUAUCAAACAGGAUUAGAUACCCCUGUAGUC
rnacentral:rRNA from 1 species